rnacentral:ncRNA from 1 species
GGUUGGGCAGGAAACUGCUUCAAGUCUGAGCUUUAAGGGUGGGAAGCU